AGCGUAGGCGGGAAGGCAAGUCAGCUGUGAAAUACAUGGGCUCAACCCAUGGACUGCAGUUGAAACUGCUUUUCUUGAGUGAAGUAGAGGUAGGCGGAAUUCCGAGUGUAGCGGUGAAAUGCGUAGAUAUUCGGAGGAACACCAGUGGCGAAGGCGGCCUACUGGGCUUUAACUGACGCUGAGGCUCGAAAGUGUGGGGAGCAAACA
rnacentral:rRNA from 1 species